UUUGUGCCCCUUACCCUCUCGUACUAUGUGCUAUACAAAUAUCAACGUCAUUGUAAGACCCACUAAAAUGUAUUACUUGGCGACGUGUGUAACAACUACGAACGUAUGCCACGUCCGAAUCCAUUGUUCCGGUAGUCGAUAUCGCGUCGUCUCAAAGAAGUUCAGAAGUUUCAGUGGUAGAACCUUGCUCUUGCUUCGGUAGGAUAACCUUUAAGGCCAGAGUCUUCGAGCCAGCUUUAGUUGAAACCACACUAUUUGUUUCAUCGGUGUCGUGAGGGUCCGUCUUUCUGUCGUCGGUCACUGGUCUAAAA
rnacentral:rRNA from 1 species